rfam:Ovis aries breed Texel chromosome 14, whole genome shotgun sequence.
UCCCUGGUGGUCCAGUGGUUAAGACUCUGUACUCCCAGUGCAGGGGUCCCAGGUUCAAUCCCUGGUCAGGGAA